UCUGGGCUUCCCCUCCAGCUGUUAUAGUCAGUAAGUAGUGUGUAUGACAAAAUUUUUGAGGUAAGUAACAUGGCAACAGGUACAGUUAAGUGGUUUAACAAUUCCAAGGGAUUCGGCUUUCUCGCACCGGCUGACGGUGGUGAAGAUGUAUUUGUACACUUCUCUGCUAUCAAGGGUGACGGUUAUAAGUCGCUGGAAGAGGGGCAGGGCGUAUCGUUUGAUAUUGAAGAUGGCCCGAAAGGACUGCAGGCUAGCAACGUCGUUCCUCAGUAACUAGACGUCUUCAAGUUUGCUUCGAGAACCCCGCUCCUGCGGGGUUUUUCGUU
rnacentral:sRNA from 1 species